rnacentral:rRNA from 1 species
GACGGGGGAUGCAAGCGUUAUCCGGAAUCACUGGGCGUAAAGCGUCUGUAGGUGGUGAUGCAAGUCACUGGUGCAAAACUCUGGCUCAACCGGAGGAAAGCCAGUGAAACUGCAUGACUAGAGUGUGGGAGAGGUAGAAGGAAUUCCCUGAGUAGCGGUGAAAUGCGUAGAUAUCAGGAAGAACACCAGUGGCGAAAGCGUUCUACUGGAACACAACUGACACUGAGAGACGAAAGCUAGGGGAGCGAAUGGG